rnacentral:rRNA from 1 species
GACGAACGCUGGCGGCGUGCUUAACACAUGCAAGUCGAACGGAAAGGCCCUGCUUUGGUGGGGUGCUCGAGUGGCGAACGGGUGAGUAACACGUGAGUAACCUGCCCUUGACUUUGGGAUAACGUCAGGAAACUGGGUCUAAUACCGGAUAGGAGCUCCUGCGGCGUGGUGGGGGGUGGAAAGGUUCGGCGGUGGGGGAUGGACUCGCGGCUUAUCAGCUUGUUGGUGGGGUAGUGGCUUACCAAGGCUUUGACGGGCAGCGGGUCGGAGGGGGUGACGGGCCACAUUGGGACUGAGAUGCGGCCCAGCCUCCUACGGGAGGAAGCAGUGGGGAAGAUUGCACAAUGGGCGGAAGCCUGAUGACGCAACGCCGCGUGCGGGAUGACGGCCUUCGGGUUGUAAACCGCUUUCGCCUGUGACGAAGCGUGAGUGACGGUAAUGGGUAAAGAAGCACCGGCUAACUACGUG